rnacentral:lncRNA from 1 species
GUGUUUCUGUGGUUUGCCUGCUGAUUUGCUGAUUCAUGGGACACGCAUCGCACCAUGGCUGGCGUGAGCCCUUGACCUGGGUCACUCAUUUUUCUACUCCUCUACUUCUUUCCUAAAAAAAAUAGGAAAGUAAUCAAAAUGUUUUCCCCCUCUGUGGGAAAGUCUCCCUUCACCUUUAGUAAUCAGUGUUCUGUUUAUCAGCUUCCACCAGCAGUGCUUUGAGUCCUUCUGACUGUGAACCAUCAGGGGGACACUUGCAGUGAUAUACGCCAUGGGAAUCUGCUUAAAUGCACACUGAAAAUAUUUAAUUGAGGGCUGGCUUACGAUUCAGAGGUUUGGUCCAUUGUCAUUGUGGGAAGCAUGUCAGCAGGCAGGCAUGGUCCUGGAGAAGGAGCUGAGAGUUCUACAUCGUGAUCUGAAGGCAGCAGGAAGAGGGUGAGUGUACAGUUUUUUUUUAAAAAAAUCUUUAAU